rnacentral:rRNA from 1 species
UUAAUGAGAGUUUGAUCCUGGCUCAGGACGAACGCUGGCGGCGUGCCUAAUACAUGCAAGUAGAACGCUGAGGUUUGGUGUUUACACUAGACUGAUGAGUUGCGAACGGGUGAGUAACGCGUAGGUAACCUGCCUCAUAGCGGGGGAUAACUAUUGGAAACGAUAGCUAAUACCGCAUAAGAGUAAUUAACACAUGUUAGUUAUUUAAAAGGAGCAAUUGCUUCACUGUGAGAUGGACCUGCGUUGUAUUAGCUAGUUGGUGAGGUAAAGGCUCACCAAGGCGACGAUACAUGGCCGACCUGAGAGGGUGAUSGGCCACA